UUGUAUUUUUAGUAGAGAUGGGGUUUCACCAUGCUGGCCAGGCUGAGACAUGAGAAUCACUUGAACCUGGGAGGUGGAGGUUGCAGUGAGCCGAGAUCGAACCAUUGC
rnacentral:sRNA from 1 species